GACGAACGCUGGCGGCGUGCUUAACACAUGCAAGUCGAACGGAAAGGCCCUGCUUUUGUGGGGUGCUCGAGUGGCGAACGGGUGAGUAACACGUGAGUAACCUGCCCUUGACUUUGGGAUAACUUCAGGAAACUGGGGCUAAUACCGGAUAGGAGCUCCUGCUGCAUGGUGGGGGUUGGAAAGUUUCGGCGGUUGGGGAUGGACUCGCGGCUUAUCAGCUUGUUGGUGGGGUAGUGGCUUACCAAGGCUUUGACGGGUAGCCGGCCUGAGAGGGUGACCGGCCACAUUGGGACUGAGAUACGGCCCCGACUCCUAAGGGAGGCAGCAGUGGGGAAUAUUGCACAAUGGGCGGAAGCCUGAUGCCGCAACGCCGAGUGCGGGAUGAAGGCCUUCGGGUUGUAAACCGAUUUCGCCUGUGACGAAGGGUGAGUGACGGUAAUGGGUAAAGAAGCACCGGCUAACUACGUG
rnacentral:rRNA from 1 species